GAUGAACGCUGGCGGCGUGCCUAAUACAUGCAAGUCGAGCGAACAGACGAGGAGCUUGCUCCUCUGACGUUAGCAGCGGACGGGUGAGUAACACGUGGAUAACCUACCUAUAAGACUGGGAUAACUUCGGGAAACCGGAGCUAAUACCGGAUAAUAUAUUGAACCGCAUGGUUCAAUAGUGAAAGACGGUUUUGCUGUCACUUAUAGAUGGAUCCGCGCCGCAUUAGCUAGUUGGUAAGGUAACGGCUUACCAAGGCAACGAUGCGUAGCCGACCUGAGAGGGUGAUCGGCCACACCGGAACUGAGACACGGUCCAGACUCCUACGGGAGGCAGCAGUAGGGAAUCUUCCGCAAUGGGCGAAAGCCUGACGGAGCAACGCCGCGUGAGUGAUGAAGGUCUUCGGAUCGUAAAACUCUGUUAUUAGGGAAGAACAAAUGUGUAAGUAACUAUGCACGUCUUGACGGUACCUAAUCAGAAAGCCACGGCUAACUACGUG
rnacentral:rRNA from 1 species